rnacentral:tRNA from 1 species
AGAGACUUAGGAUAACCACAAACCAAAGGCCUUCAAAGCCUUAAAUAGGGGUAACCCCCCUAGUCUCUG